rnacentral:rRNA from 1 species
CCUACGGGAGGCAGCAGUAGGGAAUCUUUCACAAUGGGCGAAAGCCUGAUGGAGCAACGCCGCGUGCAGGAUGAAGGCCUUCGGGUUGUAAACUGCUUUUAUAAGCGAGAAAUAUGAUGGUAACUUAUGAAUAAGGAUCGGCUAACUACGUGCCAGCAGCCGCGGUCAUACGCAGGAUCCGAGCAUUAUCCGGAGUGACUGGGUGUAAAGAGUUGCGUAGGUGGCAUAAUAAGUAGCUAGUGAAAUCUGGUGGCUCAACCAUUCAGACUAUUAGCUAAACUGUUAAGCUCGAGACCGUUAGGGGUAACUGGAAUUUCUAGUGUAGGAGUGAAAUCCGUAGAUAUUAGAAGGAACACCAAUAGCGUAGGCAGGUUGCUGGGACGGUUCUGACACUAAGGCACGAAAGCGUAGGGAGCAAACGGGAUUAGAUACCCCUGUAGUC